UUUGCUAGCCCGUGACCUUCCUGAGACGCUGAGUGUGUUCGUGGGGGUCGACCUCUUCGAGAUUAGGGUUGCCGUCUUCCUCGAGAUCUUUCAAUCGAGGGCUCUUCCUCUUUCCCUAUUGUUAUUACUCGAUCAUUAUGAACCGAUCUCUGCUGUUGUCGCGAUUCCUCUUCCUGUAACGUAUUCUUUCCCUUCCUAUAUAUCAAGAUCGUCUGCGGUGAGGUGCUUCCGUCGCUAACGCCGCCGUCCCUAACGUCGCCGGCGCCUACUCUACGUUCAACACUCUCCGCCUUGGUAGAUCAGCUCAGACCAUUGCUACUCGCCUCAUCCGGUUCUGGGAUUCUCGAAACAUCCACAAGAAUGGGGAGUUUAUGGGAAUAACUAUUCUCCUCCUCAGAUGAACAGGACUCGGUGAUUCAUGGUUUCAUCCCCGCUAACCGGGCCAGCCAGUUCCGGUCGUGUUUGAAAGCCGGUUCCAUUGUGAGAUUGGAUGGUUUUGAAGUUGCUCGAGUCGCUCACAUGUACAAGAUCACAGAACUUCAGUUCGUGAUCCGUUUCAUCCCUUCAACACGUAUUGUUGAAGUCUUGGCUGACGCUCUUGUGAUCAAGUCCGACAAGUUCCUGGUCCGGCGUAUUGAUCAUCUUUAAGUGCUUGCUAACACUAACCUUGAGCUCCCAGACGUUGUUGGUGAAAUACGUUCCGUUCAGGGGUCUGAUCUCCAAAACGACGCAGCUACUACCCGAAUUGUGGUCCACUUACUCAUCG